rnacentral:rRNA from 1 species
AAUGUCAAUUGGUAGAGGAGCAUUCUUAACGGGGCGAAGCUGUACCGGAAGGAGCAGUGGACUGUUAAGAAGAGAGAAUGCCGGAAUGAGUAGCGAGAGGAAGGUGAGAAUCCUUCCGGCCGAAUAUCUAAGGUUUCCAGAGUAAAGCUGAUCUGCUCUGGGUAAGUCGGGGCCUAAGGCGAGGUCGAAAGACGUAGUCGAUGGAUAACAGGUAAAGAUUCCUGUACUAUAUCAUAACAGAACUGUGGGGACGCAGACAGAGAGCAUAAGCCGGGAAUGGAAAAACCGGUACAAGCGAGGUAGGAGUGCAUCAGGCAAAUCCGGUGCACAAUCUGAAGACGUGAUGUGGGGCGUAAAGCCGGAAGUAUGUGAGCUGGCUGCCAAGAAAAGCCGCUAUUGUUUAUGAUAUACCCGUACCGUAAACCGACACAGGUGGAUGAGGAGAGAAUCCUAAGGCCGACGGGAGAAGCAUUGUUAAGGAACUCGGCAAAAUGACUCCGUAACUUCGGGAGAAGGAGUGCCAUGUAAAAGUGGCCGCAGAGAAUUGGCCCAAGCAACUGUUUAGCAAAAACACAGGUCUAUGCAAAACCGAAAGGUGAGGUAUAUGGGCUGACGCCUGCCCGGUGCUGGAAGGUUAAGGGGAGAGGUUAGUCGUAAGGCGAAGCUUUGAACUUAAGCCCCAGUAAACGGCGGCCGUAACUAUAACGGUCCUAAGGUAGCGAAAUUCCUUGUCGGGUAAGUUCCGACCCGCACGAAAGGCGUAAUGAUUUGGGCACUGUCUCAACAAUGCACCCGGUGAAAUUGAAAUACCAGUGAAGAUGCUGGUUACCUGCGCCAGGACGGAAAGACCCCAUGGAGCUUUACUCCAGCUUGAUACUGGGAUUCGAUAUUGCAUGUACAGGAUAGGUGGGAGACUUUGAACUCAUGACGCCAGUCGUGAGGGAGUCACUGUUGGGAUACCACCCUUGUAGUAUUGGAUUUCUAACCAGCAGCCGUGAUCCGGCUGGGGGACAAUGUCAGGUGGGGAGUUUGACUGGGGCGGUCGCCUCCGAAAGGGUAUCGGAGGCGCUCAAAGGUUCCCUCAGAAUGGUUGGAAACCAUUCGAAGAGUGCAAAGGCAGAAGGGAGCUUGACUGCGACACCGACGGGUGGAGCAGGUACGAAAGUAGGACUUAGUGAUCCGGUGGUAUAAAGUGGGAUUGCCAUCGCUCAACGGAUAAAAGCUACCCUGGGGAUAACAGGCUUAUCACUCCCAAGAGUUCACAUCGACGGAGUGGUUUGGCACCUCGAUGUCGGCUCAUCGCAUCCUGGGGCUGAAGUAGGUCCCAAGGGUUGGGCUGUUCGCCCAUUAAAGCGGUACGCGAGCUGGGUUCAGAACGUCGUGAGACAGUUCGGUCCCUAUCCGGCGUGGGCGUAGGAUAUUUGAGAGGAGCUGCCCUUAGUACGAGAGGACCGGGGUGGACUGGCCGCUGGUGGAUCUGUUGUAUUACCAAAUGCAUGGCAGAGUAGCCAAGCCGGGACGGGAUAAACGCUGAAGGCAUCUAAGCGUGAAGCCCCCCUCAAGAUGAGAUAUCCCAUAACGUCAAGUUAGUAAGACCCCUUGAAGACGACGAGGUAGAUAGGGCAGAGGUGGAAGUGUGGUAAC